rnacentral:rRNA from 1 species
UACGGAGGGUGCAAGCGUUAAUCGGGAUUACUGGGCGUAAAGCGUGCGCAGGCGGUUUGUUAAGUCUGUUGUGAAAUCCCCGAGCUCAACUUGGGAAUUGCAAUGGAUACUGGCAGGCUGGAGUAUGGUAGAGGAAGGUGGAAUUCCCGGUGUAGCAGUGAAAUGCGUAGAGAUCGGGAGGAACACCAGUGGCGAAGGCGGCCUUCUGGACCAAUACUGACGCUCAUGCACGAAAGCGUGGGGAGCAAACAGG